CUCUACAGCCAUGCUACCCUGAGUAAGCCUGAUCCCAUCUGAUCUCAGAAGCUAAGCAGGGUUAGGCCUGGUUAGUACUUGAAUGGGAGACCACCUAGGAAGCCUAGGUGCUGUAGGCA
rfam:Pteropus alecto contig71590, whole genome shotgun sequence.